GGAUUGUAGUCUGCAACCCGACUACAUGAAGCUGGAAUCGCUAGUAAUCGCGAAUCAGCAUGUCGCGGUGAAUACGUUCCCGGGUCUUGUACACACCGCCCGUCACACCAUGGGAGUCGGAAAUGCCCGAAGUCUGUGACCCAACCUUAGGGAGGGAGCAGCCGAAGGCAGGUCGGAUGACUGGGGUGAAGUCGUAACAAGGUACC
rnacentral:rRNA from 1 species